UGAGCAAUCUGCCCUUCUCUUCGGAAUAAGCGUUGGAAACGACGUCUAAUGCCGAAUACGACCUCCUUUCGCAUGAUCGGAGGUGGAAAGCUCCGGCGGAGAAGGAUGAGCUCGCGGCCUAUCAGCUUGUUGGUGGGGUAAUGGCCUACCAAGGCGACGACGGGUAGCCGGCCUGAGAGGGUGACCGGCCACACUGGGACUGAGACACGGCCCAGACUCCUACGGGAGGCAGCAGG
rnacentral:rRNA from 1 species